CAAUAGCGUAUAUUAAAGUUGUUGCGGUUAAAAAGCUCGUAGUUGGAUUUCUGCUGAGAACGACCGGUCCGCCCUUUGGGUGUGUAUCUGGCUCUUUCUUGGCAUCUUCUUGGUGAACGUUGCUGCACUUGACUGUGUGGAGCGCUACCCAGGACUUUUACUUUGAGGAAAUUAGAGUGUUUCAAGCAGGCAUACGCCUUGAAUACAUUAGCAUGGAAUAAUAAGAUAGGACCUCGGUUCUAUUUUGUUGGUUUCUAGAGCUGAGGUAAUGAUUAAUAGGGAUAGUUGGGGGCAUUCGUAUUUAACUGUCAGAGGUGAAAUUCUUGGAUUUGUUAAAGACGGACUACUGCGAAANCANNNGCGAAGGAUGUUUUCAUNGA
rnacentral:rRNA from 1 species